UACGUAGGUGGCAAGCGUUGUCCGGAAUUAUUGGGCGUAAAGCGCGCGCAGGCGGUCCCUUAAGUCUGAUGUGAAAUCCCACAGCUCAACCGUGGAGGGUCAUUGGAAACUGGGGGACUUGAGUGCAGAAGAGGAAAGCGGAAUUCCACGUGUAGCGGUGAAAUGCGUAGAGAUGUGGAGGAACACCAGUGGCGAAGGCGGCUUUCUGGUCUGUAACUGACGCUGAGGCGCGAAAGCGUGGGGAGCAAACAGG
rnacentral:rRNA from 1 species